rnacentral:Y_RNA from 1 species
GGCUGGUUCAGUGGUAGUGGGUUAUCAGAACUUAUUAACAUUAGUGUCACUAAAGUUGGUAUACAACCCCCAACUGCUAAAUUUGACUGGCUUAAA